GCAUUGACAUUUUUUUUAUUAAAGCAUUUAUGUACAUAUUUUCGAAGGUUGGUUACAUAUGUUAUUUCAAUUUCUGUGUCAGAUAAUGAUAUCAUGGAUAAUAUGUGAAGAAUUUAUGUUCACAUUUGGCAUUAUUCAAAAUGAAAUGGAGUGCUUAUUGAGAGAGGUGCUGAGGACCCACUGUGGCAUGACUAAUGACAUAAAGCCAUUAGUGUAUGAAUAUAUUGUCAUGCUUGGAUAUAGUUUGCAACAUUGGAGUGAUCUGAUAUAUCACAGAGAGUAAAGUGAAGGAAGGCUUACCCAGUGAUACAGUUUGGGAUUUCUGACCUCCAGAUCUUUCAGUCGGAUUCCUCUCUCAACCCUGUUCACCAGAGCUGGACACCAGCACUUAUAAGAGCAGUAGGAAAUUAAAAUAUUAAGUAUGAAAAACAGCAAAUUAUUUUAAAUAAUUUGCAGAAUUUAUUUCCUUGAACUAUUUGUCUCAAGAAUGUGUUGGGAAUCAAUGGCUUUUUGCAGAUAAGGAUAAGCCAGGAAAUUCAAGGAGAAACUACAAGAAAUUGAGAAACUUCUUUUUCAUUCCUGUUAUAAUGAAUUGGAGAAACAAAAAUUUCUUAGUACACAUAUAGACUAAGAAACCUACAUGAACAGUUUUGGAAGACUGAUUCUACAUGGCCAUUGCAAGUAUGAUUAAAGAUUUUGAGACAAUAUCCUGGAUAGUCUGGGUAGAUUCUAAAUACAAUCACAAGUGUCCUCAUAAAAGGCAAAAACUUGACACAUACAAAGGAGGAAAAGGCUGUGUCCCCACUGUGAAGAGAGAUUGGGGUUACGCUGCCACAAACCAAGGAAUGGUGGAAGCUACCAGAAGCUGGAAGAGGAAGAAUCUCAGGACCUGUAAGCCUCCUUCCUCUCUGAUUGGCUGUGCUGGGAUUCCUGGAAGGUGAUACCACUGAGAUUUUCCACAGCAUGUUGGUGAGGCUGAACCCCCCCUUGAAUGCCAGAGACCAACACAAAGUGCAUUAGAAGGGACACGGAGAUAUCUACAUUUUGGUGGCUCGAAGGUCUGAACUUCCUCCCAGCAGAGCAAGAUAGCCAGGCAAAAGUGUUCCCAGAAGUCACAGAAUCCCUUCUACUACUAUGAUUCAUGGAGCCAGUCACAAAAACCCACCCACUUUCAAAAUGAGUGGGACUACCCUCCACACUUGAUGGAAGGAAAGCAAUUUUCUGCACCAACAUGUGAAAAGAGAAAUACUGGUGGGGUCAUUUCUGGAAAAUGCACUCUGUCACAAUUAUAUAUCCAGCACUGCAUCAGGCAAUUUAAAGGCUACAGAAUUUAUAAGCCCUGAGGGUAAAGAGUUCCUGGCAGCUACAAAGUGUAAUUAAUGUUAGUUUUUUGGUUAUUAAUAUUUUAUCAUAGUCUUAAUAGAGAUUUAGAUUCACAGUGUUAGUUUUUGUGCAUACUCUUUCUCCAUGAACUGUAAUCAAGCUGGUAAUAAAUGAAACCACCUGACAGUCAUGUACAAUUUUAUAGCUAAAGUCUCUGAGUAUUAAAUAAGUGUAAGGCUUUUUAUGUAUGGAUUGUUUUCAUGGAGUCAGUGAAUAUUUUAUUGAGUUUCUACUAUACAGAGAGAGCUAUCUUGUUUUCUGAGGCUUAGCAGGAAUUAUAGGACCUUAAAAUUAUCAGAAACUUUUAUAGAACAUUUAAAUCUCCCAGAAAUCCUGCACAAAUUUUAUUAAGAAAACAGAGACUUGCUAUCUAUCAAAAGAAUGUAUGUUUCAAGAGAAGGGCUAUAUAGGAUGUCAUCACCAUUCCAACACCAGAAUGUAACACUUAGCUUUUAUGUUUGUAUCUGGUUAGUAGGGAGGCAUCUAUGAUAGUUGGGGGUUAUUAGAAAUUGUAAAACAAAAACUAAAGCAAAAAGAAAAAACUGAAAAAGAAAAAAGACUUUUUCACAUCCUGUAGUAAUUCAUUGUGUAGGUCUUAUUUUUAGUAUGUUAAUUUUCAAAAAGCUGCACCUUGUUGCAGCUUACUGCAUCUCCUGAUAUUUCAGAUACUCUGUUCUGUUGUGGGGCUCAAUUUUGCCCAGUUCUGAUCAAAUCCUCAUAUGAAACUCUCUCUACCACCACCUCAGAUGAUAGCAGAUGGAAAGUUUCCUUGCCUUUCUCUUGUCACUUCUAAAUCUAUUAUAGAAUUCAAAAACCUAAAUUGGGAGCUUUACAAGCUAAACUACAUUAUUCAUGGUAUAGCAUUUAUCACUUCCUGAAUUCUAGGAAUGAGUUCGUAUAUGAUAGUAAGAGGUCUAUAAAGGAAUUUUGCCAUACCUUGUGGUAAAAGAUUUCAAUUACAUUAUUUCUACCAAAACUCUUCUUGUGUUCCAAAGCUAUAUCCCAACUCUUCAACCUGACUUUCUCAGAAGAAUAAAAAUGGUUUAUUUUUACUUUUUGGACUAUAUGUCUUAAUUUUUGGCAUUAUUUCUAUUCUAGUCAUAGUCUCUUUUGCCCAUCUGGGUCUUUUUUCUCCCCUUUCAACAAUAAAGGCAUACAAUUAAUUGGAUUGGGGACUGCCAUUUAUUUAGAUCUGUUGCCUCUUUUUUUUUUUUUUUUUUUUAGACUAGAUCUACUUAGGUUAGAAUGAUCUAGUGCUAAGUACAAUUAAUAUUGUUAUAAAAGAUCUAGAACUUUUUCAUGUUGCCUCUUUUUAAAGUCACCAGUUAAAGACCAAUUGUCCAGAACGUGGCUUGUUUUUCUGAUAAGAAAAUUCCUUGUGAUUCAGCAGCUUUUGUUCUGGGUCCUGAGUUGCAAGAUAAAUAGCAAUACAAAACCUUCAACUUUGUUCUUUUUGCAAGUUUGUCUUGGCACACACAGCCACUUUUUUAUGUAUUAAAUUUAGCAUCUUAUCAAUUUUGAAAAAAUAUACUGAAAUUUUAAUUGUGUGUUUUUAAGUACAUGCAGAAGUACUGUCCUCCAGUGAGUCUGCUUUCAUAAACCCAUAGUUCUUUAUCUACAUAUCUGAAGAAGUUCUACAAUUGAUUCCAGUGAGUACUCUUGGCUAGACAUCACUGACUUAGUAAUUGUAAUUAGGGCUAUCAGCAAACAUAAUAAUAUAUAAAUCAAAUAUGUAUUAAGUAAAGGUGUGAAGAAUAUUUUUAUUCAUUUUAAUCUGAUAUUCAAAUGAGGAUGUUGUAUACAAUGUUCUAUGACAUGUGCUUCAGAAAAGCCACAUCUAAGGGUCUAGCCACAAUGGCCCACUGAUGAAUUCUUUAAUGUUUUAAAGCCUAGGAAUUUUAAAGCCUGGGAAGAAAAGAUCUCAAGCCAUCUGACCUGAAAUACCAAUAGCUACAAAUAUCAAUUUCAAAAGUUAUUAAUUUAGCCUAUUUUUGUUGUUAAUGAUCUCUAAAGUAGAAUAAAAUAUUUUAUCUCUUCAUCUACAUUGGUUUUCUUUCUCUUUUGAGCUUGAAAUUUCUGUAUAUUUAAAACAUGAUUCGAAUAAAAAGUAACCAAUUUUUUGUACCACCUCCAAGAUUGACACAACUUACAAGUCACUUCAACUACUGACAUUAACUAUUUUCAUUUACAGAAUAAGGAAAUACUUUCCUUACAAAAAUCACAGAAAUUAUAAGGAAAACAUAGAAAAUUUUAUAUGUGAAGGGUAUUUUUAAACUGUAGUUGUAUUAAUGUAAAUACCCAGUUUUAAGGAAAAAUAUAUGUCAAUGUUUUGGUUUACAUUGUAAAACAAAAAAUAUUUUUCAAAACUCAUCUGUAUAUGUGUUUUGUGUUCAGAUUUAAGAGUAAAUGUCCUUAUAUUAGUGCACAAUUUUUCUUUAAAAAAUACUUUACGAUACAUGGUCUCAUGAUUGUCAUAAAUUUUCUCUAUUUUUAUCAUCCAAUUGUUUCAGAGCAAUGUUCCUAUACCAUUAUUUGUUUUAGAGCUAAAAUAAAAGU